rnacentral:snoRNA from 1 species
GCGUGUGAUGAACAAUGGGUCUGCUGAAUUGGUGAUGACCCGUUGGAGCUCUGACG